rnacentral:rRNA from 1 species
UACGUAGGGACCAAGCGUUGUCCGGAAUCAUUGGGCGUAAAGCGCGCGUAGGUGGCCAUUUAAGUCCGCUGUGAAAGUCAAAGGCUCAACCUUUGAAAGCCGGUGGAUACUGGAUGGCUAGAGUACGGAAGAGGCGAGUGGAAUUCCUGGUGUAGCGGUGAAAUGCGCAGAUAUCAGGAGGAACACCUAUUGCGAAGGCAGCUCGCUGGGACGUAACUGACGCUGAGACGCGAAAGCGUGGGGAGCAAACAGG